rnacentral:rRNA from 1 species
GAGUUUGAUCCUGGCUCAGAACGAACGCUGGCGGCAGGCUUAACACAUGCAAGUCGAGCGCCCCGCAAGGGGAGCGGCAGACGGGUGAGUAACGCGUGGGAAUCUACCCAGCUCUACGGAAUAACUCAGGGAAACUUGUGCUAAUACCGUAUACGUCCGAUAGGAGAAAGAUUUAUCGGAGUUGGAUGAGCCCGCGUUGGAUUAGCUAGUUGGUGGGGUAAUGGCCUACCAAGGCGACGAUCCAUAGCUGGUCUGAGAGGAUGAUCAGCCACACUGGGACUGAGACAC